CAUCUCUCCAUUCUUGUGCCUGACACUUGAGGUCACAUUGAAAUAGAGAGGCCCACUGGUGCUCAAAAGGAAUGAAAAUUUUUUAGACGAGCAGCAACGCCAGCAACGAAAAGUUUGUGGCGUACUUAAGCAAGCCAAGCGCAAACGUCGAUGGACUCGAAGCCAAGUUGGCGACGAUUUUUGUAGCCUCGGCCUAAUCUCACACCAUCUCCAUACCGCCUGAUAUAUGAGGUGUCUGAAUUAAAAAAAAAUUUGAGAUAGUUUCAAGAGUCUCAAGCCAUCCUGGAAAUCGGAAUUGCUGAGAAUUGAACAUCAGCAAUAUAAGAUUCGCUUUCACUUGAUGAAUCCGAUGAUGAAUCUUCAGAAGCAGUGUCCUCCUCCUCCUGCUCGGAGUCGUCUUCAUCUGCAGGCAGUUCACCAUCUUCAGUCAAGUCUUCUACGUCUGAGAUUUCCAUAUUUUCGGUGAAUGGUGCCUCCUCCAAAUCAAGUGCCUCCUCCGCAUCCUCCGGGUCAAUUUCUUCAUCCAGUAAAUUUGAGAGGGCCUGAAAAUAUGUAAUAGUUUUAAUAGUGUGAAGUUUAAAAUAUCCUGCGAAUCUGUAUUUUUUGUUGUUUUAAAUCUAAAAAUAAUUAGAGUUUUAGGCCUAUUUCUUAGUUUAGUCUUUUUUUUCAACGUACUUGGCCUGUGAGAGAAGUGACUUGAUUGUCCAGAGCUUUGACAUUGCUUUUAUCCCCAACACAGAGACUUGGA